GCCACUUCAGUUGGUGGCCUGACCUGCACCGUACCCGUGAGCGAGCGUAAACGGAGUAAGCAAGAACCGAAACGAAUCUGUGAAACGUUUGACUAUCUCUGAGUCAUAAUCAAGGAUUCAAAUCAAGGAAAGACUCCGUCGGAUCUGAAGCCGAUGAACGAAGCUCGUCCAUCUUUAUUUGCUGCCUUGAAUCAGAGUCUAGCACUAGUGCGGAACCUACUGACGAGAAAGCUCCAAUAAAGACCAAGAGUUCAACGGGAUAGACUAUGGCACAGGGGGGAGCUCGCAUACACGAAAAAAGGGAGAUUCACUACCCGGACGGUACCCGCGUAUGCUGGGAAAGAACGGAAGAAAUAUUUGGAGCGCCCGCAGGCAAUCUACCGGUCGAUAGUUCUGACGUCCUUGCACUCGAGGACGGAAGCCAGGUGGAUUUGGAAAGUACUGUGCAAGAAGUGCUGAAGGAAAUGCCUGAAAUUAAAGGGAAAGCCAAGAAAACUGUCAUGGCUAAAUUAAAAAACGCAUUUCAUUCUUUAAAAAAGAACAAACAUAAAUUUAAAACGUUUUGGGAUAUUGUGAAAGAAUUAUUGCCUGUUGCCAGCAUGGUGACACAAUUAGCAAUUAAAGACAAAUAAAAGAGUGCUGUCUCCGGAAAUGCGUAUAACUGACAAACUCAGUCAAGCGGCUAUUUCCCUCGCUUCUUGCACCUAUACUUCGGGCCGGCUUUGCAUUUGUAUUGAAAUAAAAGAUGAGAUUGGUAAAGCUAACCCUCAUUUGAAAAUCAGUUACCGAAUGUAUUUUAGUUUACGCUGACCAUGUGAUGUAAUCACACGGUUUAGUUUGAAUAUCUGUUUUAAUUGUAUAAAGUGAGGAAGAUAUAAAAAGUAAUUUGCAACGUUUCAACUAGGUCUACUCGUCACCUUUCUAUGUGCUAAGUUUUAUCCUAGAAGGCAUACAGGCGCAGUUCUGGAUAAAAUUCUAAAAAUAUUAUAGAUUUCUGUAGCCUGCAGAAAAACUUUUGAAUUAUGUUUUUGAAACUGGUUGAGGAAAACAAUUAGGGUGUUCCAUAGGCAAAGUGGAAAUAUUAAUGUAACAAUCUCCGGACAUGUUACUAAAUUUAUACAAGAAAACGUCAAGUGUAAGG